AAAAUAAAAUAAAAUAAAACAAAUCAACAAAAUAACAAAAAAUAAUUUGAAGGAUAUAUUAUAGACAUAAUUAAAUAAGAAUUUCACAUUAAAAGCCAAUCUCACUUUGUUUACACUUUUCUGUUUUUACCGUUAGAUGAACCAUUAUUAAUUCAUAGUUAUCUGCAAAAUAAGUUUUCCUUUGUUAACCACAGAAUUUUCCAAAGUCUUAACAUCAUUGCAAAAGAUUAUCAACAGAUUGAAAAAGAUCACAAAUAGAUUCCAUCUAGCAUACCAAUCUCAUCCUGCAGAGAAACAAAACAAAAAGAAAAACAAA
rnacentral:misc_RNA from 1 species